rnacentral:rRNA from 1 species
GACGGAGGAUGCAAGUGUUAUCCGGAAUCACUGGGCGUAAAGCGUCUGUAGGUGGUUUAAAAAGUCCACUGUUAAAAAUUGAAGCUUAACUUCAAAAGAUGCCGUGGAAACUUUUAAACUUGAGUAUGAUAGGGGUAGAGGGAAUUUCCAGUGGAGCGGUGAAAUGCGUAGAUAUUGGAAAAGACCACCAAUGGCGAAGGCACUCUACUGGGCCAUUACUGACAUGGAGAGACGAAAGCUAGGGGAGCGAAUGGG